rnacentral:rRNA from 1 species
UACGAAGGGGCUAGCGUUGCUCGGAAUCACUGGGCGUAAAGCGCACGUAGGCGGAUCUUUAAGUCAGGGUGAAAUCCUGGAGCUCAACUCCAGAACUGCCUUUGAUACUGGGAUCUCGAGUCCGGAAGAGGUGAGUGGAACUCCGAGUGUAGAGGUGAAAUUCGUAGAUAUUCGGAAGAACACCAGUGGCGAAGGCGGCUCACUGGACCGGUAUUGACGCUGAGGUGCGAAGCGUGGGAGCAAACAGG